GACCCGGCACCACUACUAACAUAAACCAAAAUCAAAACGCGAACCCUAGUUUGUUCUCUCAUCAUCCGUUCAUGUUCUUCCUUUAACGCAACUGAAAUUCCUUAAACAAACUUCCAUGACAGAUCUAAGGUGAAACAAAAAACACGAUUCUAAACUAAAGUCUCUUCUUUUCCCAAAACACCAAUUUCAUUCCUCUUUCAAAAAUCUGACCUUCUCCGAACCAUCACCCUUCUUACAUGAGUGAAACAAGGUUUCUAACACUUAUAGUGAACAAACUAUUGAAUCUUUGCACGGUCACGCAUCAUCAAACAAAAACGAUAAUGGAGAUGAACAAAAAACUCGGUGAAAAGUCGUAUACAACAGGAUCAAGAAAAAAAAGAGAAUACGCACAAAAAAAAGCAUGGCUAAAAGAGUAAAAUAGAGUUCAGUCGAGGAAGAGAAAUCUACCCAAUAAGGUUUACGUGAAUGUUCAGGUCCAACAAGACCAUAAGACGGGCUUUUGGUGAUGCCUGGCCUAUGAGACUUGAAGAUGAAGUAAAGUGAGUCAAAAUGGAGCAAGUUUGGCUCAUGAAGCUUGAAGAUGUAGCACACUAAACAAAUCAGGCCUCUUUUUUUUAGUUUUGUGUAGCAAGGUGUUUAGGUUCAAGAAUCCUCUAAGUUCAUGUUUUAGUUUACAUGAAGUGUGCAUAAAUUGGGAUCAUUGUAACAAAAUGUAACAUUGUAAUUUGUAAAGGAAACAAUGCAACAUUUGAAACACAA